UGGGGAAUAUUGCACAAUGGGCGCAAGCCUGAUGCAGCGACGCCGCGUGCGGGAUGGAGGCCUUCGGUUGUAACCGCUUUGUUCAAGGGCAAGGCAGGCUUUCGGGCC
rnacentral:rRNA from 1 species